CCUACGGGAGGCAGCAGUGAGGAAUAUUGGUCAAUGGGCGCGAGCCUGAACCAGCCAAGUCGCGUGAGGGAUGAAGGUCCUACGGAUCGUAAACCUCUUUUAUAAGGGAAUAAAGUGUGGCACGUGUCCCUUUUUGUAUGUACUUUAUGAAUAAGGAUCGGCUAACUCCGUGCCAGCAGCCGCGGUAAUACGGAGGAUCCGAGCGUUAUCCGGAUUUAUUGGGUUUAAAGGGUGCGUAGGCGGGUUUUUAAGUCAGUGGUGAAAGUUUGGGGCUCAACCAUAGAAUUGCAGUUGAUACUGGGAGGCUUGAGUAUAGUUGAGGCAGGCGGAAUGCGUGGUGUAGCGGUGAAAUGCUUAGAUAUCACGCAGAACCCCGAUUGCGAAGGCAGCUUGCCAAGCCGUGACUGACGCUGAUGCACGAAAGCGUGGGUAUCAAACAGGAUUAGAUACCCGUGUAGUC
rnacentral:rRNA from 1 species